rnacentral:rRNA from 1 species
UACGAAGGGAGCAAGCGUUAUUCGGAAUCACUGGGCGUAAAGGGCGCGUAGGCGGCGCACUAAGUCAGUUGUUAAAUUUCCCGGCCUAACCGGGAGUCAGCGACUGAUACUGGUGUGCUAGAGUGCAGGAGAGAGAGGUGGAAUUAUCGGAGUAGCGGUAAAAUGCGUAGAUCUCGAUAGGAACACCGAUGGCGAAGGCAGCCUCUUGGUCUGUUACUGACGCUGAAGUGCGAAAGCGUGGGGAGCAAACAGG